rnacentral:misc_RNA from 1 species
UUGUGAGCCAAAGCAGCUUCCAAACACUACCCUGCAACCAUUUUCUUCAAGUUAUCUUCUGAACUGAUGUAUUGCAGAGUAUUUUGAUGGCAUGAACACAAAAAAAGACCUUAAUCAUCACACGAUAUAAUUCAAGCUGUCACUUGUAAAUACGCACAAGAUUAUGAACCAUGCAGAUCUUGGCUUAGUUUCCUCAGGUUCCAGGAAGUCGGUAUAUUCAUCAAAUUGACAUGUUCUACUACCAAAAAUCUAUUUGGAGAAUUGAGUUAAACCUAAACCUAAAGACCAACCCAAUAUGAACGUCCAUUGCUGUUUUGGACAGCUGAUGAAGCGGGAGAUGUCACACACCACUCAUACCAAACCUUUGAAGCGCCACAACAACGCCAAAAAUGUACUUGUAGAGGAGAACCAGGUUGUAUGCACACUGGUAUCCUUAAUGGGAAAAAUAUGGCAAACCAGCUGAACAUGUUUGGUGUCGCUGUUGAAGGUUCAAUACCAAGAUGUACAUCUUUGUAGAGCUUUGCAUCAAAGUAGCCAGCAAAUCCAUGCACCAUGGCUGACCCAGCAUCAUUCGCAAUCUCAAACUGCAGCUUUUUAUAGCGCUGAUUGCUUUUCGUAGAUGUGUAAUUUGGAUGAGUAAAUGUAAAGACAGGUUGAGAAGGAGCAAGUCUAGCAACAUUAUGUAUUUUGACAACAUAUGCAGUCUCAAAGUGCACAAUAUCUUUGUGUGACUUAACAUCAUUAUAGAGUUUUGAAGCUGUCACUGGUUGGAUGAAACUUGUAUACGAUGAUGGUAUUGAGAUUCCAUCUUGCUUCAAAAACCUUUGGGCACCAUCAAGACACUCAGGUGACAGCUCAUUGUCACCAAAUGAUCCAAGCAAUUCACUAACCAAGAUAUCAGCUUUCUCAGGAGCAUCCCAGUAACGCAUAUCACAAGAAAUUAUGGUCACAAUGUCUUCCCACCCUUCCAGCUUAACCAAACUAUGAAGGGUAACAACUGCAUUUGGAUUUUUCUCCACUGCAUAUACUUUUAGCUUGCGUCCUGUUUCUUCAGCAGCCUGCAAUGAUGCCCGGACAAGAGGUCCACGUCCUGCUCCUACAACCAUCAGUACAGUGGUAAUGCUUGCUUCAUCAGGGACCCUAUCCAGCAAAGCUUUACUGAUUGCCCUUUGGUACUGGAUGUAUUUCACUGAGUCUUUCUCAAAUGUCUCAUAUGUUUGUGCCUCUAGAUUGUCCAUGAGCGGUUGCAAUGGAGACUGUAGAAAAUCCCUGUAUCCAAGCUCAAAACGUUCUUGCUCGGGAAGGGGAUCCAUUUUUUGAAAGAGGUAACCUACAUAGUCCAAGUAUGACCUCAAGGGAUGCCUCUGCACACUUUUUUCAACAUUAUUAUCGAAAUUAUUAGCAACCAAAUUUGAGCUUGCCCCUGGACUGCUGUGUACAGAUUUUCCACCAAUGACAAUCUGUAUGGAAUGGUUAAAAAACAUAGUAACAAGCUUUUGGUGACGCUUAGAGAGGCAAGGAUAACCCCGUGCAUUUGUUAGGAAAGAAUCAGUAUGUAUUAUGGCUGCUCUAACAGAUUCUCCAAACCAACGGAUUAGUGAGUUCACUGAUGGCAAGGAACUCAAAACAUCAAGUGCAAUGGCUAACUGACUGUGAUGUUCACACAGAAGACGAAAUGAAUUCCAUAGUUCCCAAGAAUCAAUCAAAUUACUUGAGUUUACAUCCAUAGAAUCCUGUUCAGUCUUCAUCAGUGGAAUCCUAAGCCACAACUGCAUAGUGUUCAAGCCCUGUAAAAUCUGAUUCACACAUCUAGCAUAAUUAGCACAGGAUGCACCCUUAGGACAAGGUAGAAGGCAUGCCUGUAAGGAAAGAUGAUUAGCCCAUGCUAUUUCUUGCUUCAGAGUAGUUUCAGAAUCCAUCCGAAGGGUUUCAUCUGCUGAAUCCAAGUCAAUCCAUGAACUAAUUUUUCCCACAACAUGACUGCUCCACUGGGAGGGGCUCAAAACUAAGUCUGACCCAGAAAAAGGUAGAACACACAAUCCACCACCAUCUUUUUCCAUCAAGCUCGGUCUAUAAGUGGGAUCCAUCAGAGGAGCAACGACAAAAUCAAAACCACCCGAGGAGAUAUUGAAAGUGAGAAGCUGAGGCAUGUCCUCGCUGAAAUCUGUUUCCACACCACAGUAUCGAGAUUCGCUCUUUUCCCAUCCCAACUUAUCCCCUAGAGGCAUUUUUCUCACUUUUUCUUCUUCUUGGUGCUCUGCUGCUUUCUAGGGUUACUAGAAGUAACCUUACUUGAGUUUCUUGAUGGUUAGUGAAGAGAAAGGUGAACGGCAGCAGCAAAUCAGCAAUGGAGAGGUGAACGAUGGCUUGAGCUGCUGUGAGGGAGAAAGGCGAACGGCGGCUUCAAAUGGCUAUAGCUACUGCGAGAGACAAAGAAAGCUUCCAAUGUUGAUGGAUAGUGAAGGAGAAACGGCAGUGACAGUAUGCUGAGGUUUUAGGUCUGAGGUUUUAG